UACGGUAGGGUGCGAGCGUUGUCCGGAAUUAUUGGGCGUAAAGAGCUCGUAGGCGGUGUGUCACGUCGGCCGUGAAAACCUGCAGCUUAACUGUGGGCGUGCGGUCGAUACGGGCAUCACUGGAGUUCGGCAGGGGAGACUGGAAUUCCUGGUGUAGCGGUGAAAUGCGCAGAUAUCAGGAGGAACACCGGUGGCGAAGGCGGGUCUCUGGGCCGAUACUGACGCUGAGGAGCGAAAGCGUGGGGAGCAAACAGG
rnacentral:rRNA from 1 species